AUUGAACGCUGGCGGCAUGCUUUACACAUGCAAGUCGAACGGCAGCGGGGAGGAGCUUGCUUCUCUGCCGGCGAGUGGCGAACGGGUGAGUAAUACAUCGGAACGUGUCGAGAAGAGGGGGAUAACCACCCGAAAGGGUGGCUAAUACCGCAUAAAUUCUGAGGAAGAAAGCUGGGGACCUAGGAAUAGGCCUAGCGCUUUUUGAGCGGCCGAUGUCGGAUUAGCUAGUUGGUGAGGUAAAGGCUCACCAAGGCGAAGAUCUGUAGCGGGUCUGAGAGGAUGAUCGGCCACACUGGGACUGAGACACGGCCCAGACUCCAACGGGAGGCAGCAGUGGGGAAUUUUGGACAAUGGGGGCAACACUGAUCCAGCCAUGAAGCGUGUAUGAAGAAGGCCUUAGGGUUGUAAAGUACUUUUGUUAGGGAAGAAAAGUCAGCUGUGAAUAAUGGCUGAUACUGACGGUACCUAAAGAAUAAGCACCGGCUAACUACGUG
rnacentral:rRNA from 1 species